AUCUUCUUGAUAUGAUAUGAAGUCGUGCCUGCCCAAUGAGUAUUUGAAUGGCCGCGGUAUACUUUGACCGUGCAAAGGUAGCAUAAUCAUUAGUCUCUUAAUUGGAGGCUGGAAUGAAUGGUUUUUGACGAAGCAAUUACUGUCUCUUAAUAAUGAUUUGAAUUUUACUUUUGAGUUAAAAGGCUCCUAAAUGUUGAUAGGGGACGAGAAGACCCUAUAGAUCUUGAUAAUUUAUAUUGAUUUUUUUGGAUUUGGAUGGUAUUUAAUAAAUUUUAGUAUAUUGUAUUUGGUUGGGGUGACAGGGGAAUAUAUAAUAACUUCUUACUAUUUAACUAUGAUGAUUGGUUAAUUGAUCCUAUAUUAUGGAAUAAACUGAUAAAGAUACCUUAGGGAUAACAGCGUAAUGUUAUUGGAGAGUUCUUAUUGAUAAUAAA
rnacentral:rRNA from 1 species